GAAGUGGCGGCUGAAGCGCCGCCGGCGGGGCUCUCUGUCGCCGAGUGAGUGGGAGGCGGCGGCGCUGGUGGCUGCAGCUGGGGUGAGGCGCGAGGCAGCGCACUCGACGGCUGACUGGAGCAGCGGAUAUAAGUCAGAGUACAGCAGAAAAUGUCUACUGAACGGACUUCUUGGACAAGCCUGUCCACCAUUCAGAAAAUAGCCCUGGGCCUUGGGAUCCCAGCCAGUGCAACAAUUGCCUAUAUCCUAUACCGCAGGUAUAGGGAAAGCAGAGAAGAGCGGCUGACAUUUGUUGGGGAAGAUGACAUUGAGAUAGAGAUGCGGGUUCCCCAGGAGGCUGUGAAACUCAUCAUUGGCCGGCAAGGAGCCAAUAUUAAACAGCUGCGGAAACAGACAGGUGCUCGGAUUGAUGUGGACACAGAGGAUGUAGGCGAUGAGCGAGUGCUGCUUAUCAGUGGUUUUCCUGUUCAGGUGUGCAAGGCCAAAGCAGCAAUCCAUCAGAUCCUGACAGAGAAUACCCCAGUGUCUGAGCAGCUUUCAGUUCCCCAGAGAUCUGUGGGCAGAAUCAUAGGGAGAGGCGGCGAGACAAUUCGUUCUAUCUGUAAAGCCUCUGGAGCCAAAAUUACCUGUGACAAAGAAUCAGAAGGGACAUUACUACUAUCAAGACUUAUAAAAAUCUCAGGAACACAGAAGGAAGUGGCAGCAGCCAAGCAUUUGAUACUGGAGAAAGUUUCAGAAGAUGAAGAACUUCGGAAGAGAAUUGCUCAUUCUGCAGAAACCAGAGUCCCACGCAAACAGCCAAUCAGUGUGAGAAGAGAAGACAUGACAGAGCCAGGUGGAGCAGGAGAGCCAGCUUUAUGGAAAAACACCAGUUCUAGCAUGGAGCCAGCUGCACCCCUGGUGACUCCUCCACCCAAAGGAGGAGGCAACAUGGCUGUGGUAGUGUCAAAGGAAGGUUCCUGGGAGAAACCUAGUGAUGACAGCUUUCAGAAGUCGGGAGCCCAGGCCAUCCCAGAGAUGUCCAUGUUUGAAAUCCCCAGUCCUGACUUCAGUUUUCAUGCUGAUGAGUACCUAGAAGUCUACGUUUCUGCUUCUGAGCACCCUAACCACUUUUGGAUCCAGAUCGUUGGCUCCCGCAGCCUGCAAUUGGAUAAGCUUGUCAAUGAGAUGACUCAGCACUAUGAGAAUAGUGUGCCUGAAGACUUGACUGUGCGUGUAGGAGACAUUGUAGCAGCACCUUUACCUACAAAUGGUUCCUGGUAUCGAGCCCGGGUCCUCGGCACCUUGGAGAAUGGGAACUUGGACCUCUAUUUUGUUGACUUUGGAGAUAAUGGAGAUUGCCCACUGAAGGACCUCAGGGCUCUCAGGAGUGACUUCCUAAGCCUUCCAUUUCAAGCAAUAGAAUGUAGUCUGGCACGGAUCGCUCCCUCAGGUGACCAGUGGGAAGAGGAAGCUUUGGAUGAGUUUGAUAGACUCACUCAUUGUGCUGACUGGAAGCCUCUGGUAGCCAAGAUCUCUAGCUAUGUCCAGACUGGGAUCUCAACUUGGCCAAAGAUCUACCUAUAUGAUACUAGCAAUGGGAAGAAACUUGAUAUUGGGCUAGAAUUAGUACACAAAGGAUAUGCAAUUGAGCUUCCUGAAGACGUAGAAGAAAACAGAGCUAUCCCAGACAUGUUGAAGGACAUGGCCACAGAAACAGAUGCCUCUCUCAGCACCUUGCUCACUGAGACCAAAAAGAGCUCUGGAGAGAUAACACAUACCCUGUCCUGCCUCAGCUUAUCAGAAGCUGCUUCUAUGUCUGGUGAUGAUAACCUUGAAGAUGACUACUUACUCUGAAGUCUGGGCUUCAGCUUGCUCAGCCAUCUGCUUUGCUGUAUCUCAUUCUGUGCCUGCGAACAUGGCGGCGCACGUUGUCACGGCCCCGGGCAGAGCUCUGCUGCGGGCGGGCGCUGGGCGGCUGCUGCGGGGAGGCGCCCAGGAGCUACUGCGGCCGCGACAUGAAGGGAAGUCCCCUGACCUGGCCUGCGACUUCAGCCUCUCUCAAAAUCGGGGCACGGUCAUCGUGGAGCGCUGGUGGAAGGUACCGCUGGCCGGGGAGGGCCGGAAGCCGCGCCUGCACCGGCGACAUCGCGUCUAUAAACUGGUGGAGGACACGAAGCAUCGGCCCAAAGAAAACCUGGAGCUCAUCCUCACGCAGUCGGUGGAGAAUGUUGGAGUCCGGGGUGACCUGGUCUCAGUGAAGAAAUCUUUGGGCCGGAAUCGACUCCUUCUUCAGGGACUGGCUGUAUAUGCAUCCCCUGAAAACAAGAAGCUGUUUGAAGAGGAGAAAUUGCUGAGACAAGAAGGAAAAUUAGAGAAGAUCCAGACCAAGGCAGGUGAGGCGACAGUGAAAUUUCUAAAAAGCUGUCGCCUGGAGGUAGGGAUGAAGAACAAUGUCAAAUGGGAGCUGAACCCUGAAAUAGUUGCCCGCCACUUCUUCAAGAAUCUUGGUGUUGUGGUUGCCCCACAUACGUUAAAGUUACCAGAAGAGCCUAUCACACGGUGGGGCGAGUAUUGGUGUGAGGUGACGGUAAAUGGGCUUGAUACUGUGAGAGUGCCUAUGUCUGUUGUGAACUUUGAGAAGCCCAAGACCAAAAGAUAUAAGUACUGGUUAGCCCAGCAAGCUGCCAAGGCCAUGGCCCCCACCAGCCCCCAGAUCUAAAUCUCCUCUCCCUCCAAGGCAGCAAAGCAGAAUCAGGAGCAGUGGAGCAGAAAUGGGCAAGCACCCUGAUCUCACUCCCAGCUCUGACCAAAUACAGAAUUUUAGAGAACAUCUGAAGACAUCAGACUGCACUGCGUAUACAUGUUGAAUUCUUCAUUUUUGCCAUCUUUAUCUUUAACUGUCAUCACUGGGGCAGUCUUGUUCCAGAAGUACCAGGCUGUAGAUUUGAUAAGCUAGAUACAAUAGACCGAAACCAUCCAAAACCUGUUUAGCUUCUUCCUCCAUUGGAGUUUAUUGGGACAAACAGAAGAGCCAGCCAUUGUCUCCAGUACUUGCCUCAUUCUCAUCAUCCAAACUGAACAUUUGUAUCCCAAGCAGAAAUAAAGAGAUUAUGUUCUUUUUAA